AGAGCGAACGCUGGCGGCAGGCCUAACACAUGCAAGUCGAGCGCGUGUAGCAAUACACGAGCGGCAGACGGGAGAGUAACACGUGGGAACGCGCCCUUCGGUUCGGAAUAACUCAGGGAAACUUGAGCUAAUACCGGAUACGCCCUUACGGGGAAAGAUUUAUUGCCGAAGGAACGGCCCGCGUCCGAUUAGCUAGUUGGUGAGGUAACGGCUCACCAAGGCGACGAUCGGUAGCUGGUCUGAGAGGAUGACCAGCCUCACUGGGACUGAGACACGGCCCAGACUCCUACGGGAGGCAGCAGUGGGGAAUAUUGGACAAUGGGCGCAAGCCUGAUCCAGCCAUGCCGCGUGGAUGAUGAAGGCCUUAGGGUUGUAAAGUCCUUUUAACGGGAGAUAAUGACGGUACCGUAGAAUAAGCCCGGCUAACUUCGCGCCAGCAGCCGC
rnacentral:rRNA from 1 species